AUGAACGCUAGCUACAGGCUUAACACAUGCAAGUCGAGGGGCAGCAUGAACUUAGCUUGCUAAGUUUGAUGGCGACCGGCGCACGGGUGAGUAACACGUAUCCAACCUGCCGAUGACUCGGGGAUAGCCUUUCGAAAGAAAGAUUAAUACCCGAUGGCAUAGUUCUUCCGCAUGGUGGAACUAUUAAAGAAUUUCGGUCAUCGAUGGGGAUGCGUUCCAUUAGGUUGUUGGCGGGGUAACGGCCCACCAAGCCUUCGAUGGAUAGGGGUUCUGAGAGGAAGGUCCCCCACAUUGGAACUGAGACACGGUCCAAACUCCUACGGGAGGCAGCAGUGAGGAAUAUUGGUCAAUGGACGAGAGUCUGAACCAGCCAAGUAGCGUGAAGGAUGACUGCCCUAUGGGUUGUAAACUUCUUUUAUACGGGAAUAAAGUGAGGCACGUGUGCCUUUUUGUAUGUACCGUAUGAAUAAGGAUCGGCUAACUCCGUGCCAGCAGCCGCGGUAAUACGGAGGAUCCGAGCGUUAUCCGGAUUUAUUGGGUUUAAAGGGAGCGUAGGCGGACGCUUAAGUCAGUUGUGAAAGUUUGCGGCUCAACCGUAAAAUUGCAGUUGAUACUGGGUGUCUUGAGUACAGUAGAGGCAGGCGGAAUUCGUGGUGUAGCGGUGAAAUGCUUAGAUAUCACGAAGAACUCCGAUUGCGAAGGCAGCCUGCUGGACUGUAACUGACGCUGAUGCUCGAAAGUGUGGGUAUCAAACAGGAUUAGAUACCCUGGUAGUCCACACAGUAAACGAUGAAUACUCGCUGUUUGCGAUAUACAGUAAGCGGCCAAGCGAAAGCGUUAAGUAUUCCACCUGGGGAGUACGCCGGCAACGGUGAAACUCAAAGGAAUUGACGGGGGCCCGCACAAGCAGUGGAGUAUGUGGUUUAAUUCGAAGCAACGCGAAGAACCUUACCAAGUCUUGACAUCCGCCUGACCGAUCCUUAACCGGAUCUUUCCUUCGGGACAGGCGAGACAGGUGGUGCAUGGUUGUCGUCAGCUCGUGCCGUGAGGUGUCGGCUUAAGUGCCAUAACGAGCGCAACCCUUAUCGAUAGUUACCAUCAGGUGAUGCUGGGGACUCUGUCGAGACUGCCGUCGUAAGAUGUGAGGAAGGUGGGGAUGACGUCAAAUCAGCACGGCCCUUACGUCCGGGGCUACACACGUGUUACAAUGGGGGGUACAGAAGGCAGCUACACGGCGACGUGAUGCUAAUCCCGAAAGCCUCUCUCAGUUCGGAUUGGAGUCUGCAACCCGACUCCAUGAAGCUGGAUUCGCUAGUAAUCGCGCAUCAGCCACGGCGCGGUGAAUACGUUCCCGGGCCUUGUACACACCGCCCGUCAAGCCAUGAAAGCCGGGGGUACCUGAAGUGCGUAACCGCAAGGAGCGCCCUAGGGUAAAACUGGUGAUUGGGGCU
rnacentral:rRNA from 1 species